rnacentral:rRNA from 1 species
UGGGUUAAGUCCCGUAACGAGCGCAACCCUUGUCCUUAGUUACCAGCACGUUAUGGUGGGCACUCUAAGGAGACUGCCGGUGACAAACCGGAGGAAGGUGGGGAUGACGUCAAGUCAUCAUGGCCCUUACGGCCUGGGCUACACACGUGCUACAAUGGUCGGUACAGAGGGUUGCCAAGCCGCGAGGUGGAGCUAAUCCCACAAAACCGAUCGUAGUCCGGAUCGCAGUCUGCAACUCGACUGCGUGAAGUCGGAAUCGCUAGUAAUCGCGAAUCAGAAUGUCGCGGUGAAUACGUUCCCGGGUCUU